UGAGCUAUGUGCUCCAGAUCGUGCCAUUAAUUAAACCACACAGGUGUUUCGUCCACCUGUUUUGAUUUAUCUUGUGGUGGGGGCUGAGAGACUUCAGCUUUCUUUGGUCCUCUCGCCAUUUCCACUGAUGAUUCAAGGGGCUCUCCAUUUCUUAUGUCAGCUGACUGACCAUCUGGUCCUUUCAGACAUGAGCUGGCAGACAGUGUAUUUGUGGAGGUUAGCGUGGUCGGAGCACUCCUGCAGUAGCGUGCUGGACCUCAGAUGGAGGAGGCAGGAGAGAAGCUCUGGAGAGCAGGACGGGAGAAAGGAGGGCAGUACGAGACGCGUUCGGCUCCUGGAUUUAUGUUUGAUGGGGUUAAAUGAAUAAAAGAGGCUUAAAAUCCCA